rnacentral:rRNA from 1 species
GAUUUAUUAAUUUAUUUUGUUAAAUUAAUAAUUUAUAAUAAAAAUAUUUAAUGGGAUGAGCUGUUAAAUAAAUUUUUAAAAAUUUAUAUUAUUUUUAAAUAUAAAUAAGCUUAGAAUUAGCAAUUUUUAAUAAAUUUGUUAUAAUUUAUAUUUUAAAGAAUAUUAUUUAUUUUAUUUUAAAUUUUUAUUAAAAUUUUAAAUUUAAUAUAAAAAUUUAAUAAAUAAUGAUAAAAUUAGUAUAAUUUAAAGUUAAGAUAAAUUAAUUUGUUAGGUUUUUAUAAGGAACUCGGCAAAAAUUAUAUUCGCCUGUUUAACAAAAACAUGUCUUUUUGAAUCUAUAUAUAAAGUCUAAUCUGCCCAUUGAUAUUUAUUUAACGGCCGCAGUAUUUUAACUGUGCAAAGGUAGCAUAGUCAUUAGUCUUUUAAUUGAAGGCUUGUAUGAAUGAUUGGACGAGAUAUAAGCUGUCUCAUAAAAAUUUAUUAUUGAAUUUAAUUUUUUAGUUAAAAAGCUAAAAUAAUUUUAAAAGACGAGAAGACCCUAUAGAUCUUUAUAUUUAAAUUUAUUAUUAUUUUUUGGUUUAAUUUUAUAAUAAUAAAAUAAAGUAUUUUGUUGGGGUGACAUUGAAAUUUAACAAACUUUCAAAAUUUAAAACCAUUAAUAUAUGAAUUGUUGAUCCUUUAUUAUUGAUUAAAAAUUUAAGUUACCUUAGGGAUAACAGCGUAAUUAUUUUGGAGAGUUCUUAUCGAUAAAAUAGAUUGCGACCUCGAUGUUGGAUUAAGAUUAAUUUUGGGUGUAGUAGUUCAAUAAAUUAAGUCUGUUCGACUUUUAAUUUCUUACAUGAUCUGAGUUCAAACCGGUGUGAGCCAGGUUGGUUUCUAUCUUUAAAUAAGUGUAAUAUUUUAGUACGAAAGGACCAAAUAUUAAAAAAAUAAUUUUUUUAAAAUAAUUGAAUAAUAUUAAUUUA